ACUCCUACGGGAGGCAGCAGUGGGGAAUAUUGCACAAUGGGGGAAACCCUGAUGCAGCCAUGCCGCGUGUGUGAAGAAGGCCUUCGGGUUGUAAAGCACUUUCAGUAGGGAGGAAGGUAGUGUAGUUAACACCUGCACUAUUUUGACGUUACCUACAGAAGAAGCACCGGCUAACUCCGUGCCAGCAGCCGCGGUAAUACGGAGGGUGCGAGCGUUAAUCGGAAUUACUGGGCGUAAAGCGCAUGCAGGCGGCCUGUUAAGUCAGAUGUGAAAGCCCGGGGCUUAACCUCGGAAUUGCAUUUGAAACUGGCAGGCUAGAGUCUUGUAGAGGGGGGUGAGAAUUUCAGGUGUAGCGGUGAAAUGCGUAGAGAUCUGAAGGAAUACCAGUGGCGAAGGCGGCCCCCUCGGAGAAAG
rnacentral:rRNA from 1 species